rnacentral:rRNA from 1 species
CCUACGGGUGGCAGCAGUGAGGAAUAUUGGUCAAUGGCCGGAAGGCUGAACCAGCCAUGCCGCGUGAAGGUCAGUGCCCUAUGGGCGUUAAACUUCUUUUGUGCGGGAGCAAUAAUGGUCACGUGUGGCCAGACGAGAGUACCGUACGAAUAAGCAUCGGCUAACUCCGUGCCAGCAGCCGCGGUAAUACGGGGGAUGCAAGCGUUAUCCGGAUUUAUUGGGUUUAAAGGGUGCGUAGGCUGUGAGGUAAGUCAGCGGUGAAAUGCCCCCGCUCAACGGGGUGAAGUGCCAUUGAUACUGCCUAGCUGGAAGGCGGAUGCGGUGGGAGGAAUGUGUGGUGUAGCGGUGAAAUGCAGAGAGAGAACACAGAACACCGAUUGCGAAGGCAUCUCACGAACCCGCGAUUGACGCUGAUGCACGAAAGCGUGGGUAGCAAACAGGAUUAGAUACCCGAGUAGUC